AGGAAGUCCCAAACAGGAAGUGUCAAAUUUUGAGUCCACAGUGAAACAGGAAAUGUCAAAUGUUGAACUCUUCCGGGAACGCUAAACUGAGAGGCGGUGUGCACCUUGACAGGUCUUGAGGUAAGUCAGUUACUAUUUAGCGUGUAUAUUACAUGUAAAAAUAUUUUGAUCUUUGAAAAUAAGUAAGUUGAAGGGUUUUAGCCAUGCUAAUGCUCCCCUGAACAAUUUACUGAAAAAAUA